AUGAAUAUGCGCCUAUCAUUCUUGAUUCGAUACUCCAUACUAUUCACAUCACUAAUGUAAAUACUAUUUGACGUUUUGCGCAUCAGCUGGACAAUUCUUGCAUUGAAGGACUAUUAAAAUAAUAGAAUAUUAAAAAAACACGAAAAGGUUACAAAGUACGAAUCAAGUAAAAUAAUAAUCUGGCAACCCUACUUAUAUCUCAUGAACCCAUGAUCCAACUUCACAAGAUCUGACAACAUGAUGCAAAAGAAAAAAGUAAUUUUCUGGCUGACGUUUGUAAUUUCGGCGCCGUGUUAUUUUCUUUGAAAAGUAA
rnacentral:misc_RNA from 1 species